rnacentral:rRNA from 1 species
CAAUCUUCCUGGCCUUAAGCUAAUUGUAUUCCCCUUCUGGAAAGCGGUCCUUAGUUAGCACAACAUAAACAAAAUCACCCACUUCGAACUCCACCAAAUGACGCUUCCUGUCAGCUGACUCCUUAUACUUGGAGGUAGAGACCUCCAACUGUUUCUGAGUAGCCUCAUGAACUUCCUUCAAAUGCACCAUAAAGUCUCGGGGUGUGGACCGGUGCAGAUUGGGGCAGAGGCCAAAGCCUGGGCGGUCGUAAAGCCCACGGAGACGCCUUCGCCUCGAUCGUGGCUAGCAGCGCGUGCCUGCAAGGGCGUGCUUUGGCAUCUGCGCACUCCCAGCACCGGCCAGCGUGCUCCCCAUCUGGUCCGUCUUGGAACACGGAUCAAGGAGUCUGACAUGUGUGCGAGUCAACGGGCGAGUAAACCCGUAUGGUGCAAGGAACCUAAUUGGUGUGGGAUCCCCCAGCGGGUUGCGUCGUCGACCGACCUUGAUCUUCUGAGAAGGGUUCGAGUGCGAGCAUACCUGUCGAGACCCAAAAGAUGGGGAACUAUGCCUGAGCAGGGUAAAGCCAGAGGAAACUCUGGUGGAGGCCCGCAGCGAUACUAACGUGCAAAUCAUUCGUCUGACUUGGGUAUAGGGGCGAAAGACUAAUCGAACCGUCUAGUAGCUGGUUCCCUCUGACGUUUCCCUCAGGAUAGCUGGAGCCCAGGUGCGAGUUCUAUCGGGUAAAGCCAAUGAUUAGAGGCAUUUGGGGCACAACGCCCUCGACCUAUUCUCAAACUUUAAAUAGGUAGGACAGCGCGACGGCUCCGAUGAGCCAUGCCACUGAAUCGAGAGCUCCAAGUGGGCCAUUUUUGGCAAGCAGAACUAGCGAUACGGGAUGAAUCGGAAGUCGAGUUACGGUGCCCAACUGCACAAUAACCUAGAACCCACAAAGGGUGUUGGUCGAUUAAGACAGCAGGAUGGUGGUCAUGGAAGUCGAAAUAUGCUAAGGACUGUGUAACAACUCACCUGUCGAAUCAACUAGCCUUGAAAAUGGAUGGUGCUGAAGCGCGCGACCUAUACCCGACCGUCGGAGCAAGUGCCAGGCCCCGAUGAGUAGGAUGGUGCAGAGGUCAUUGCAAACCUUGGGCGCGAGCCUGGGCACGAGCGGCCGUUGGUGUGAAUCUUGGUGGUAGUAGUAAAUAUUCAAAUGAGAACUUUGAAGGCCAAAGAGGGGAAAGGUUCCAUGGGAAUGGCACUUGCAGAUGGGUUAGUCGAUCCUACGAGUCGGGGAAAGCCCGACAGAGAGCGCGUCCAGUGCGAGCGUCGAAAGGGAAUCGGGUUAAAACUCCAGAAUCGAGACGUGGCGGCUGACAGCAAUGUUAGGGAGUUCAGAGACGUCGGCAGGGCUCCGAAAGAGUUAUCUUUUCUGUUUAACAGCCUGCCCACCCUAGAAACGGCUCAGCCGGAGGUAGGGUCCAGCGGCUGGAAGAGCACCGCACGUUGCGUGGUGUCCGGUGCGCCCCCGACGGCCCUUGAAAAUCCAGAGGACCGAGUGCUUCCCACGCCCGGUCGUACUCAUAACCGCAUUAGGUCUCCAAGGUGAACAACCUCUGGCCGAUGGAACAAUGUAGGCAAGGGAAGUCGGCAAAAUGGAUCUGUAACUUCGGGAAAAGGAUUGGCUCUGAGGGCUGGGCACGGGGGUCCCAACCCCGAACCCGUCGGCUGUCGGUGGACUGCUCGAGCUGCUCUCGCGGUGAGAGCGGGUCGCUGCGUGCCGGUCGAGGGAUGAACUGGGAACAGCUCCUCUCUGGGGCCUUCCCCGGGUGUCGAGCAGCCGACUCAGAACUGGUACGAACAAGGGGAAUCCGACUGUUUAAUUAAAACAAAGCAUUUCAAUGGUCCACGCGAAUGCUCACACAAUGUGAUUUCUGCCCAGUGCUCUGAAUGUCAAAGUGAAGAAAAUCAGCCAAGCGCGGGUAAACGACGGGAGUAACUAUGACUCUCUUAAGGUAGCCAAAUGCCUCAUCAUCUAAUUAGUGACUCGCAUGAAUGGAUUAACGAGAUCCCCACUAUCCCUGUCUACUAUCAGUGAAACCACAGCCAAGGGAAAGGGCUUGGCAGAAUCAACGGGGAAAGAAGACCUGUUGAGCUUGACUCUAGUCUGACUUUGUGAAAUCACUUGAGAGACAUAGGAUAAGUGAGAGCCGGAGACGGCGAAAGUGAAAUACCACUACUUUUAACGUUAUUUUACUUAUUCCAUGAAUCGGAGGCGGGGCACUGCCCUUCUUUUUGGACCCAAGGCUCGCCUCGGCGGGCCAAUCCAGGCGGACGACAUUGUCAGUGGGGAGUUUGGCUGGCGUGGCACAUCUGUUAAAAGAUAACGCAGGUGUCCUAAGAUAAGCUCAACGAGAACAGAAAUCUCGUGUGGAACAGAAGGGUAAAAGCUCGUUUGAUUCUGAUUUUUAGUACGAAUACGAACUGUGAAAGCAUGGCCUAACGAUCCUUUGGACCUUCGGAAUUUGAAGCUAGAGGUGCCAGAAAAGUUACCACAGGGAUAACUAGCUUGUGGCAGCCAAACGUUCAUAGCGAUGUUACUUUUUGAUCCUUCGAUGUCGGCUCUUUCUAUCAUUGUGAAGUAGAAUUCACCAAGUGUUGGAUUGUUCACCCACCAAUAAGGAACGUGAGCUGGGUUUAGACCGUCGUAAGACAAGUUAGUUUUUCCCUACCGAUGACAGUGUUGCAAUAGUAAUUCAACCUAGUACGAGAAGAACCGUUGAUUUGCACAAUUGGUCAUCACGCUUGGUACUAGUGGCGCGAAGCUACCAUGCGCUGGAUUAUGAUUGAACGUCUCUAAGUCAGAAUCCAGGCUAGAAGCGAUGUAUGUGCCCGCCGUUCAUUUGUCGACCAGCAGUAGGUGCCAUUCGGCCCCCAAAGGCAAGUGUCAUAGGCGAAACUCGCGCGGCGAACGAGCAUCGCGGCCGCCUUGAAGUUCAAUUUCUACCGAGCAGCAAGUAGAAUCCUUUACAGACGACUUAAAUACGCGACAGGGUAUUGUAAGUGGCAAAGUGGCCUUGCUGCCACAAUCCACUGAGAUUUAGCCCUUCGU